CGCAGAGUGUAAAGGCACAAGGGAGCUUGACUGCGAGACUGACAAGUCGAGCAGGGACGAAAGUCGGGCUUAGUGAUCCGGUGGUUCCGCAUGGAAGGGCCAUCGCUCAACGGAUAAAAGCUCCCCCGGGGAUAACAGGCUUAUCUCCCCCAAGAGUCCACAUCGACGGGGAGGUUUGGCACCUCGAUGUCGGCUCGUCGCAUCCUGGGGCUGUAGUCGGUCCCAAGGGUUGGGCUGUUCGCCCA
rnacentral:rRNA from 1 species